rnacentral:rRNA from 1 species
GACGAACGCUGGCGGCGUGCUUAACACAUGCAAGUCGAACGGAAAGGCCCUGCUUUUGUGGGGUGCUCGAGUGGCGAACGGGUGAGUAACACGUGAGUAACCUGCCCUUGACUUUGGGAUAACUUCAGGAAACUGGGGCUAAUACCGGAUAGGAGCUCCUGCUGCAUGGUGGGGGUUGGAAAGUUUCGGCGGUUGGGGAUGGACUCGCGGCUUAUCAGCUUGUUGGUGGGGUAGUGGCUUACCAAGGCUUUGACGGGUAGCCGGCCUGAGAGGGUGACCGGCCACAUUGGGACUGAGAUACGGCCCAGUCUCGUACGGGAGGCAGCAGUGGGGAAUAUUGCACAAUGGGCGGAAGCCUGAGGCAGCGACGCCGCGGGCGGGAUGACGGCCUUCGGGGUGUAAACCGCUUUCGCCUGUGACGAAGCGUGAGUGACGGUAAUGGGUAAAUAAGCACCGGCUAACUACGUG